rnacentral:rRNA from 1 species
AUACGGAGGAUCCGAGCGUUAUCCGGAUUUAUUGGGUUUAAAGGGUGCGCAGGCGGCCAUUUAAGUCAGCGGUUAAAUCGUGGGGCCCAACCCCAUUCUGCCGUUGAUACUGGGUGGCUUGAUUGCGGUCGAGGUUGGCGGAAUUCGUUGUGUAGCGGUGAAAUGCAUAGAUAUGACGAAGAACACCGAUUGCGUAGGCAGCUGACCAGACCGCAAAUGACGCUCAUGCACGAAAGUGCGGGGAUCGAACAGGAUUAGAUACCCUGGUAGUCCGCACAGUAAACGAUGAAUACUUGUUUUCGGCGAUAUAAUGUCGGAGGCAAAGCGAAAGCGAUAAGUAUUCCACCUGGGGAGUACGCCGGCAACGGUGAAACUCAAAUGAAUUGACGGGG